UGUCGCGUCUGCCGUGAAAUCCUCAGGCUCAACAUGAGGCGUGCGGUGGGUACGGGCAGGCUAGAGUGCGGUAGGGGAGAAUGGAACUCCUGGUGUAGCGGUGGAAUGCGCAGAUAUCAGGAAGAACACCGAUGGCGAAGGCAGUUCUCUGGGCCGUAACUGACGCUGAGGAGCGAAAGCGUGGGGAGCGAACAGGAUUAGAUACCCUGGUAGUCCACGCCGUAAACGUUGGGCGCUAGAUGUGGGGACCAUUCCACGGUUUCCGUGUCGUAGCUAACGCAUUAAGCGCCCCGCCUGGGGAGUACGGCCGCAAGGCUAAAACUCAAAGGAAUUGACGGGGGCCCGCACAAGCGGCGGAGCAUGCGGAUUAAUUCGAUGCAACGCGAAGAACCUUACCAAGGCUUGACAUAUACCGGUAACGGCCAGAGAUGGUCGCCCCCUUGUGGUCGGUAUACAGGUGGUGCAUGGUUGUCGUCAGCUCGUGUCGUGAGAUGUUGGGUUAAGUCCCGCAACGAGCGCAACCCUCGUUCUAUGUUGCCAGCGGUUCGGCCGGGGACUCAUAGGAGACUGCCGGGGUCAACUCGGAGGAAGGUGGGGAUGACGUCAAAUCAUCAUGCCCCUUAUGUCUUGGGCUUCACGCAUGCUACAAUGGCCGGUACAAAGGGCUGCGAUGCUGUAAGGCGGAGCGAAUCCCAAAAAGCCGGUCUCAGUUCGGAUUGAGGUCUGCAACUCGACCUCAUGAAGUCGGAGUCGCUAGUAAUCGCAGAUCAGCAACGCUGCGGUGAAUACGUUCCCGGGCCUUGUACACACCGCCCGUCAAGUCAUGAAAGUCGGUAACACCCGAUAUGCCAG
rnacentral:rRNA from 1 species